rnacentral:rRNA from 1 species
AUUGAACGCUGGCGGCAGGCUUAACACAUGCAAGUCGAGCGGAGUGAUGGUGCUUGCACUAUCACUUAGCGGCGGACGGGUGAGUAAUGCUUAGGAAUCUGCCUAUUAGUGGGGGACAACAUCUCGAAAGGGAUGCUAAUACCGCAUACGCCCUACGGGAGAAAGCAGGGGAUCACUUGUGACCUUGCGCUAAUAGAUGGGCCUAAGUCGGAUUAGCUAGUUGGUGGGGUAAAGGCCUACCAAGGCGACGAUCUGUAGCGGGUCUGAGAGGAUGAUCCGCCAAACUGGGACUGAGACACGGCCCAGACUCCUACGGGAGGCAGCAGGGGGGAAUAUUGGACAAUGGGGGGAACCCUGAUCCAGCCAUGCCGCGUGUGUGAAGAAGGCCUUAUGGUUGUAAAGCACUUUAAGCGAGGAGGAGGCUUACCUAGUUAAUACCUGGGAUAAGUGGACGUUACUCGCAGAAUAAGCACCGGCUAACUCUGUGCCAGCAGCCGCCGUAA